AACCUUGUGCAGUGGCAUUAUCGCAAACAAUGAGGUCAUAACCGAGUUGCGAUUAUUGCUACACUGAAAAAAAAGACCAAGUUCUAAAAUCAAGAACAUUCAUCUUAAAUAUUUUGUUCUUAAAAUUAGAUUAUUUUA